UCGCUGUUGGAUGAAUGAAUCG
rnacentral:miRNA from 1 species